UACGGAGGGGGCAAGCGUUAUUCGGAAUUAUUGGGCGUAAAGGGCGCGUAGGCGGCUAGAUGUGUCAAAGGUGAAAUCCCUCGGCUCAACUAAGGAACUGCCUUUGAAACUGUCUGGCUUGAGGCCGGGAGAGGGUAGCGGAAUUCCCAGUGUAGCGGUGAAAUGCGUAGAUAUUGGGAGGAACACCAGUGGCGAAGGCGGCUACCUGGACCGGUUCUGACGCUGAGGCGCGAAAGCGUGGGUAGCAAACAGG
rnacentral:rRNA from 1 species